GUAGAUGGACUGCUAAUUUUUAUACGUUUAUCUGCUGAAUUUCCAUCUCACCUCAUCAGCAUGAGAAGAUCGACACAACUGCCCUGAUGCUUCAGCGUGAGCAGAAACACAAGGCCAGAAUGUUGUUCUUUAUGUUUAAAUAUGGCAGCUAUAAUUAGCCGGGAAAUUAUUUUCCCCAAUGUAAUGGAGCUGAACUUGUCUUUAAUUACGCUUGAGUGAAAUCAUCAUCAACUGCUUGGAGGAAAAAUAAAAAGAGAGAUGAAAAGGAGAACAGAAUGAAAGACAGACGGAUGGAGAAGUAAAAGGUUUCUUCAUUAAAGAGAGUUGCUCUCGUCUCAGCGCUGACAUUCCUGCUGUCAGGAGAUUCUGCUUAGUAACCCGUUGUCAUGGUGGUGGUCCUGCGCUCUGAUUGGACGAGAGGCAAGGCCGCUCAGGGAUCCAGUUUGCAUGCAGGAGAGAGAUUACAGUCGGAUCUGUGUUGUGGUCUGUUGAACAGCCUGACCCUUCAUGCACUUCGGAUUAGCUCCAGUUACCAUUAAUGGAAAGUAGAGCAGUCGACUGGCCCGAAUUCAGUUGGUUUCAGUGCGAAUGACUCCAUUAGCAGCGAGAUGCCCAUCGUGUCUCCAGCAGCAGCUAAAGGUUAUUCUUCUGUAAAGCGAGUCUCCGAUGGGACGAGCGGAGAGGAGAAGCGCUGAUGUGUGUUGGGCUGGAGACAAGGCCUGUCUUUGUGUUGGGAGAGUGAAUGAUGAAUAUGCUCUCUAGACUUCACUCUUCCAUCCGACAAUGAUGUUGGAAAGCUACCGGCUCGUUCAGUCACUGCUUCUUUCCUCUUGUGUUUGGUGAGGUAAUAAACUCUGCUUUAAAUAUCCUGAACCUCACAAGGACGCAGUCCCAACCACUCAAUCAUUAUUCAGAAUAAACAGCAGUCAUUUCAUUAGUUUAUGCACACAACUGUAGCUGCGGUAUAUU
ensembl:lncRNA